GGCUCAGAUUGAACGCUGGCGGCAUGCCUUACACAUGCAAGUCGAACGGCAGCACGGGAGCAAUCCUGGUGGCGAGUGGCGAACGGGUGAGUAAUGUAUCGGAACGUACCUUCAGUGGGGAUAACGUAGCGAAAGUUACGCUAAUACCGCAUAUUCUGUGAGCAGGAAAGCAGGGGAUCGCAAGACCUUGCGCCGAUUGAGCGGCCGAUAUCAGAUUAGCUAGUUGGUGAGGUAAAGGCUCACCAAGGCGACGAUCUGUAGCGGGUCUGAGAGGAUGAUCCGCCACACUGGGACUGAGACACGGCCCAGACUCCUACGGGAGGCAGCAGUGGGGAAUAUUGGACAAUGGGCGAAAGCCUGAUCCAGCAAUGCCGCGUGAGUGAUGAAGGCCUUAGGGUUGUAAAGCUCUUUUACCAGGGAUGAUAAUGACAGUACCUGGAGAAUAAGCUCCGGCUAACUCCGUG
rnacentral:rRNA from 1 species